AGAGUUUGAUCCUGGCUCAGGAUGAACGCUGGCGGCGUGCCUAAUACAUGCAAGUCGAGCGCCCCUUUAAGAGGUGACAAUUGAACAAUUGUCGGUUCCUAUGGGGAGCGGCGGACGGCUGAGUAACGCGUGGGAACGUGCCCCAAAGUGAGGGAUAAGCACCGGAAACGGUGUCUAAUACCGCAUAUGAUCUUCGGAUUAAAGCUUUAUGCGCUUUGGGAGCGGCCUGCGUCCGAUUAGAUUGUUGGUGAGGUAAAGGCUCACCAAGUCGACGAUCGGUAGCUGGUCUGAGAGGAUGACCAGCCAGACUGGAACUGAGACACGGUCCAGACUCCUACGGGAGGCAGCAGUAAGGAAUCUUCCACAAUGGGGGCAACCCUGAUGGAGCAACGCCGCGUGCAGGAUGAAGGCCCUCGGGUCGUAAACUGCUUUUAUGAGUGAAGAAUAUGACGGUAACUCAUGAAUAAGGGUCGGCUAACUACGUGCCAGCAGCCGCGGUCAUACGUAGGACCCAAGCGUUAUCCGGAGUGACUGGGCGUAAAGAGUUGCGUAGGUGGUCAGUAAAGCGAAUAGUGAAAUCUGGGGGCUCAACCUCACAGGCUAUUAUUCGAACUCACUGACUCGAGAGUGAUAGAGGUAACUGGAAUUUCUGAAGUAGGGGUAAUAUCCGUAGAUAUCAGAAGGAACACCAAUGGCGUAGGCAGGUUACUGGGCUGUUUCUGACACUGAGGCACGAAAGCGUGGGGAGCGAACCGGAUUAGAUACCCGGGUAGUCCACGCCGUAAACGAUGGAUGCUAGCUGUGGGGGGUAUCGACCCCCUCCGUAGCGAAGCUAACGCGUUAAGCAUCCCGCCUGUGGAGUACGGCCGCAAGGCUAAAACAUAAAGGAAUUGACGGGGACCCGCACAAGUAGUGGAUCGUGUUCUUUAAUUCGAUGAUAAACGAAGAACCUUACCAGGGCUUGACAUCCCGAGAAUUUUGCCGAAAGGCGAGAGUGCUUUAUUGAACUCGGUGACAGAUCUUGCAUGGCCGUCGUCAGCUCGUGUCGUGAGAUGUUUGGUUAAGUCCAUCAACGAGCGCAACCCUUAUAGUUAGUUGGAUUUUUCUAGCUAGACUGCCCCGGUAACGGGGAGGAAGGAGGGGAUGAUGUCAGGUCAGUAUUAGUCUUACGUCCUGGGCUAGAAACGCGAUACAAUGGCCGGUACAACGGGCAGCCAACCCGCGAGGGGGAGCAAAUCCCAUCAAAACCGGUCCCAGUUCGGAUAGCAGGCUGAAACUCGCCUGCUUGAAGUCGGAAUUACUAGUAAUCGCAGGUCAGCAUACUGCGGUGAAUACGUUCCCGGGUCUUGUACACACCGCCCGUCAAACCAUGAAAGUGACCAACACCCGAAGUCCGAUUCGUCGGCCUAAGGUGGGGGGCAUGAUUGGGGUUAAGUCGUAACAAGGUAUCCGUAGCGGAAGCUGCGGAUG
rnacentral:rRNA from 1 species